rnacentral:tRNA from 1 species
GCCCAUGAGGUAGAGUACGCUAAAUUUGCAAAUUUAGAGACGCACCCUAAGAGGUGCCGGGGCUUCUCCCGUUUUAAAGAGACGGGAGAAGA